GUUUGUUUUUCGCGCAGUCGGCCUCACGGGUGUUGAUGUCCCUGCUCAAAUGGAAGAGCAGGGGCUCAACAAUUAGGAAAAUUACGUUUGGGACCUCCAUGGGUAAGAAAUAACACAUUGUGUAUUUGUGCAGGUGUGUCGAGUGUUUUCACGCUACAUUCCUCAUCAUGUGUUGCAUCUUUACAGACACUUACCUGGAGGAGUACGGGGCCUACCUUUUCUGCCCGGAAGGGACCCCCAAAAUGGUUCAAAACAGCGUGUCGAAGGCCAGCCGAGCAAAGGUGUUCCUGAAAUACCUGACGCUCGGCUGGCCUUCGAUCAAAUAUUGGAGUUGGGAGUUUUUGUUCAACAUCCCCCUCAUAAAGACGUAAGUAGUGAAUUUUUGAUGAUGAUAAUGAUGAAGUAGUACUCAAAACAUAUGACUGAGACUAAUUACAGCCUGCUCUUUCUACAGCUACCCUGCUGCCCUGAGAGCGGCUGGCCUGGCCCCGACAACCAUCGUGUUAUACGUGGGCCAGGCCAUCUCCUUUUUGGAAUAUUUCCGGGACACCCCAGCUAAAUACUCCCGGGUGACCAACGGCCAGCUGGUCAUGGUCACCCGGGAGUUAAGGAAGCUAUUGAAGGACUUGAACCGGAACGUCCUUGGCCACCAGUCCCUGGUGAAACAGGGCAAACUAUUGAGACUGGUGGCCAAGGAGGACCUGGCCAAGUGCCAGGUGAUGGCCAAAGAAAAGAUCCCCUCUCUCCUCGCGGACAUGAAAGCGGCGCCCCCCAGGGACCCAAAGACCCGGUACCGGUUCUUUGGGUACCUGGUGGCCUACCUUUCCUCAAUCUACGGGCACAGGUCGGGGGUGCUGACCCGGAUGAGGGUCAGGGAGGUGCAGGACGCGAUCGGGGACGAGGACAAGGGCUACCUCAUUAAUGUAAGUAUGCUUUUACUCACCUCGGGUCCUUUUCUACAUUAAAAACAGGGGGGGCGGCUGUUGCACACUUGGGAAUUGGCUGACAUCUCUGCCUCCUGUCAUACUUUGUCUUCUGCAGGUCAUGGAGCACAAGACGGUGCGUAAAUUUGGGGUGGCCCAGGUGUACCUCGAGGCCGGCGAGUACGCCUGGUGCCGGGAGUGGCUCCGCCUGCGGCUGCGCUCCGUGCCACAAAACAAGUUUUUUUUUACGUCCUUCGGCAAGGGGGAGCCGAAGGACCUGAUUAAAUAUUUUCGACGAGCUUGGGGGGAGAUGGGCCUCCCCGGCUCCCCGAGUCUAAUGGACAUCAGGUCGGCCGUGGCCACAUACGUGAGUAUCAAAACACGUGAUGAGGAAUUGGUCAAUUUGGUGCAUUUUGCUUCCGUUACGCACAUUCUGGUUUGUAAAUGCCCCUCUUUUUCUUUGUUUGUAGAACUUUGAGACCAACGACGCCGAGGUAC
rnacentral:lncRNA from 1 species